AGCAGCCGCGGUAAUUCCAGCUCCAAUAGCGUAUAUUAAAGUUGCUGCAGUUAAAAAGCUCGUAGUUGAAUUUCGGGACCAAUAUGUCGGUCGUGCCUCGGUACGUACUGGCAUCGUUGGUUUCUCCUUUCUGAAGAACCAUGAUGUCAUUUAUUUGGUGUCGUGGGGAAUCAGGACUGUUACUUUGAAAAAAUUAGAGUGUUUAAAGCAGGCUCACGCUUGAAUACAUUAGCAUGGAAUAAUGAAAUAGGACGUUUGAUUCUAUUUUGUUGGUUUCUAGGAUCGACGUAAUGAUUAAUAGGGAUAGUUGGGGGCAUUAGUAUUCAAUUGUCAGAGGCGAAAUUCUUGGAUUUAUUGAAGACUAACUACUGCGAAAGCAUUUGCCAAGGAUGUUUUCAUUAAUCAAGAACGAAAGUUAGGGGAUCGAAGACGAUCAGAUACCGUCGUAGUCUUAACCAUAAACUAUGCCGACUAGGGAUCGGAUGAUGUUAAUUUUUUAAUGACUCAUUC
rnacentral:misc_RNA from 1 species